rnacentral:rRNA from 2 species
GGGUUGUGAGGUUAAGCGACUAAGCGUACACGGUGGAUGCCCUGGCAGUCAGAGGCGAUGAAGGGCGUGCUAAUCUGCGAUAAGCGCCGGUAAGGUGAUAUGAACCGUUAUAACCGGCGAUACCCGAAUGGGGAAACCCAGUGUGAUUCGUCACACUAUCAUUAACUGAAUCCAUAGGUUAAUGAGGCGAACCGGGGGAACUGAAACAUCUAAGUACCCCGAGGAAAAGAAAUCAACCGAGAUUCCCCCAGUAGCGGCGAGCGAACGGGGAGGAGCCCAGAGCCUGAAUCAGCAUGUGUGUUAGUGGAAGCGUCUGGAAAGGCGCGCGAUACAGGGUGACAGCCCCGUACACAAAAGCGCAUGUGCUGUGAGCUCGAUGAGUAGGGCGGGACACGUGGUAUCCUGUCUGAAUAUGGGGGGACCAUCCUCCAAGGCUAAAUACUCCUGACUGACCGAUAGUGAACCAGUACCGUGAGGGAAAGGCGAAAAGAACCCCGGCGAGGGGAGUGAAAAAGAACCUGAAACCGUGUACGUACAAGCAGUGGGAGCACAGGUUUACCUGUGUGACUGCGUACCUUUUGUAUAAUGGGUCAGCGACUUAUAUUCUGUAGCAAGGUUAACCGUAUAGGGGAGCCGCAGGGAAACCGAGUCUUAAUUGGGCGUUAAGUUGCAGGGUAUAGACCCGAAACCCGGUGAUCUAGCCAUGGGCAGGUUGAAGGUUGGGUAACACUAACUGGAGGACCGAACCGACUAAUGUUGAAAAAUUAGCGGAUGACCUGUGGCUGGGGGUGAAAGGCCAAUCAAACCGGGAGAUAGCUGGUUCUCCCCGAAAGCUAUUUAGGUAGCGCCUCGUGAAUUCAUCUCCGGGGGUAGAGCACUGUUUCGGCUAGGGGGCCAUCCCGGCUUACCAACCCGAUGCAAACUGCGAAUACCGGAGAAUGUUAUCACGGGAGACACACGGCGGGUGCUAACGUCCGUCGUGAAGAGGGAAACAACCCAGACCGCCAGCUAAGGUCCCAAAGUCAUGGUUAAGUGGGAAACGAUGUGGGAAGGCCCAGACAGCCAGGAUGUUGGCUUAGAAGCAGCCAUCAUUUAAAGAAAGCGUAAUAGCUCACUGGUCGAGUCGGCCUGCGCGGAAGAUGUAACGGGGCUAAACCAU